AUCUCGACGUGUCUUGGGCUCCUCUGGCGCCAAAAUGUCGCUCGUAGCGGGGGUUAUUCGGCGGCUGGACGAAACAGUGGUGAACCGCAUCGCGGCAGGGGAAGUCAUCCAGCGGCCGGCCAACGCCAUCAAGGAGAUGAUUGAGAACUGCUUAGAUGCAAAAGCCACCAGCAUCCAAGUGGUUGUUAAAGAGGGAGGCCUCAAGUUGAUUCAGAUCCAAGACAAUGGCACUGGGAUCCGGAAAGAAGAUCUGGAUAUUGUGUGUGAGAGGUUCACUACAAGUAAACUGCAGUCCUUUGAGGAUUUAGCUAGUAUUUCUACCUAUGGCUUUCGGGGUGAGGCUUUGGCCAGCAUCAGCCACGUGGCUCACGUUACUAUUACGACCAAAACAGCUGAUGCAAAGUGCGCAUACAGAGCAAGUUACUCAGAUGGAAAGCUGACAGCUCCUCCUAAACCAUGUGCAGGCAAUCAGGGGACCCAGAUUAUGGUGGAAGAUCUCUUUUACAACAUAUCCACAAGGAGGAAAGCUUUAAAAAAUCCGAGUGAAGAGUAUGGGAAAAUUUUGGAAGUUGUUGGCAGGUAUUCGAUACACAAUUCAGGCAUUGGUUUCUCAGUUAAAAAACAAGGCGAGACAGUGGCUGACGUUAGAACACUGCCCAGUGCCACGACUGUAGACAAUAUUCGCUCCAUUUUUGGAAAUGCUGUUAGCCGAGAGCUGAUAGAAGUCGGGUGUGAGGAUAAAACCCUAGCCUUCAAAAUGAAUGGCUUUAUAUCCAAUGCAAAUUACUCCGUGAAGAAGUGUAUCUUCUUACUCUUCAUCAACCAUCGUCUGGUAGAGUCAGCUUCCUUAAGAAAAGCCAUUGAAACCGUGUAUGCAGCCUAUUUGCCCAAAAACACACACCCGUUCCUGUACCUCAGUUUGGAGAUCAGCCCCCAGAACGUGGAUGUCAACGUGCACCCCACAAAGCACGAGGUUCACUUCCUACACGAGGACAGCAUCCUGGAGCGGGUGCAACAGCACAUUGAGAGCAAGCUCCUGGGCUCCAACUCGUCCAGGAUGUACUUCACCCAGACUUUACUCCCAGGUCUUGCUGGCCCCUCUGGGGAGGUGGUUAAGUCCACAAUGGGUGUGACCCCCUCAUCCACUUCUGGAAGCAGCGACAAGGUCUAUGCUCACCAGAUGGUCCGCACAGAUUCGCGGGAACAGAAGCUCGAUGCGUUUAUGCAGCCUGUGAGCAAGGCUCUGUCCGGUCAGCCUCAGGCCGUGGUCCCAGAAGAUGGGCCUGAGGCUUCCAGCAGCAGGGCCAGGCAGCAGGAUGAGGAAAUGCUCGAACUCCCGGAGCCUGCUGCAGUGGCUGCCACAAAUCAGGGCUUGGAGGGGGAUGCAACAGAGGGGACUUCGCAAGCGUCGGAGAAGAGAGGGCCCCCUUCCAGCCCAGGUAACCCCAGAAAGAGGCCCCGGGAAAGCUCUGAUGUGGAAAUGGUGGAAGAUGAUUCCCGGAAGGAAAUGACAGCAGCUUGUACUCCCCGGAGAAGGAUCAUCAACCUCACCAGUGUCCUGAGCCUCCAGGAAGAAAUUAAUGAGCGGGGACAUGAGACUCUCCGAGAGAUGUUGCACAACCACUCCUUCGUGGGCUGCGUGAAUCCUCAGUGGGCCUUGGCACAGCAUCAGACCAAGCUAUACCUUCUCAACACCACCAAACUUAGUGAAGAACUGUUCUACCAGAUACUCAUUUAUGAUUUUGCCAAUUUUGGUGUUCUGAGGCUGUCGGAGCCAGCGCCACUCUUUGACCUGGCCAUGCUCGCCUUAGACAGUCCCGAGAGUGGCUGGACAGAGGAGGAUGGCCCCAAAGAAGGACUUGCUGAGUACAUUGUUGAGUUUCUAAAGAAGAAGGCUGAGAUGCUUGCGGACUAUUUCUCCUUGGAGAUCGAUGAGGAAGGGAACCUGAUUGGAUUACCCCUGCUGAUCGACAACUACGUGCCCCCUUUGGAGGGCCUGCCUCUCUUCAUUCUUCGACUAGCCACCGAGGUGAACUGGGAUGAAGAAAAGGAAUGUUUUGAAAGCCUCAGCAAAGAGUGUGCUAUGUUUUACUCCAUCCGGAAGCAGUAUGUAUGUGAGGAGUCGACCCUCUCAGGCCAGCAGAGUGACGUGCCUGGCUCCUCAGCAAACCCCUGGAAGUGGACUGUGGAACACAUCGUCUAUAAAGCCUUCCGCUCACACCUUCUGCCUCCUAAACGUUUCACGGAAGAUGGAAAUAUCCUACAGCUUGCCAACCUGCCCGAUCUAUACAAAGUCUUCGAGAGAUGUUAAGCACCGUCACUCUUGGACUCGGGGGUGUGCGGUUCCUGCACUGUGUCCUGAUGAGGGUCCUGGGGGCACCAGGGUGGUUCAGUCGGUUAAGCCCCAAAACUAGAGUCCUGAACUAGAAGAGGCUCUGGUGACACUGAGAAUGGAGAAAGGUGAAUCGAGGAUCUGUUAGCACCCUCAGUAACCUAAGCUCAUUAGUUUAUUCGUAAUGAAAAAACCUUGAGAGAAGACAGAAGUCCUUACGGAAUCUGUAACUGGUGCACAUUUUAAACCAGCCCCCUUUGUUAAGGGAUGUGAACACUACCAGCUUAAGUUCUCAUUAUUCUGACCCGAAGGAUGACGUAAAAAUACAAACCCGAGCCGUAUGUGCCACUACCGUCAGAUGCCUUUAAUACUAGCCUGGUUCACAGAAAUGUGCAGUGUGCACGGGAAGAACGCCUACAGUUUUGAGGUAAAAUCCAGAUGACAAGACUCAGUAAAGAACGUUCCAUGGAAAGAACAGGGAACCGUCCCUUAAGAAAAAGUGGAACCAUUCCCUUUGGAAGAGACAAAUCUGUUGUAUCCCAAAAGAAGCAGGAUCAGGUCCUACCACGUAGAACUUCCAAAAGGUUGACAGGGCAUCUCAGCAGCGGCCCUCCGGGAGCCCAGCGGGGCACAGGCUGAGCGGCCCAGGCGGGGCGAGGAGGGGUCACCUCACGGUGUGCUGGCUCCAGCUGUGGGCCCCCACCCCUCCUACCCCGGGUCCCACUACUACGGCUGCGAAGGAAGUAUGUAGGAAAUCCCCCCGGACUCACGACACCGGUUCCAUAUUUUAAAAACAAAAGACUAACUGCUCUGAAGAGGGUAAUUCGCAGAGAUUUUCUUCACAUCCGAGUUAGCUUCAGGAUGUAAUUCCAAGUCUAACUUUGUUAUCUCACGUGCCCUGGACUGACUCAUUAGACUUCUCGCGGUAUUUGUUCUGAACAUGCAACCACCAUCUCCACAAACACCUUGAUUCUGAGGGCAGACGAGAAUCACGGAUCCUGCAAAGUGGCUCCACGAUAAAAGCCUCUUAAACUGGAUGCGUUUAAAGACACGACUGAAGUUCUUAAAAAGCUGUACAUUCCAGAUUAUUUUCCGUGAGGAGGAGGAGAAGAGGGGCAGCGUAAGAGGGACGUGGCUGCCCCGAUGUGUUGAAAGGCUCCCGUAACAAAAUGAAUGUGUCAGGAGCCAGCUGUGGUCAGCAAGAGGGUGUGUUUAAUAGGGUCUUGGGCCGACUCCCCCCCCCCCCGCACCCCCCGCCGGGCUCGUCUGAGGUUUCAUUCCACAAAUCAGCAGCAGAUGAGAUACUUUACACGAGAUACAGCACAGGCGAUGUUGACGACAAAGGGCCCUACUCUGACCUUAAGAGUGUCGGGCUUUGGACUUCCCCGGCCACAUGCAAUAAAGCAAGUUUUAUAUACACUCCCCGUAUCUGUAUUUUUUCUAACAUUUUCUUAUAUAAAUUUAAAUAUUUUACAAAAAAAGGCUUCUUCCUCCAAACAUAGAAAUUUGAGUGAAACAUACAUUCCCCACGUGUGAACCUGUUUCUUCACUAAAAUAUAAAUGCUAUCUGAUACGAAGGGUAAGUGUCUUUGACCGCUGGAGAGGACUGAAGUCUGAAUUGCACCGUGGAGAAGGCACUUGUGUUUCCCGAGGUCUCCAGCCAAGUAUCUCACGGGGCGCUCACAGAACCGCCGUCCUCUCGCCGUGACGAGAGCCCCGUCACAGAGGCCGCUGGGGGAAAUGGUGAGUAAACUCGAUUCUACAAUUAUGGAAAUAAAAAGUAAAAACAGCACGGACCAGUUCUUAGUCUAGAAUCAAAUUACAAACGAAAUCCAAAGCGUUCAUUCAUGAAGAUUCAAACCUGUUUCAUUCUCUCAUAAAUUAUAAAAUACAAAGGUGGCUAUUUUACUGACAAGACUCAAACAGUACAGAAGGGGGUUUGUGUCAGUGGACAGAAAGUCCCUCUGGGCGGGACCCCGGGCGCGGCUCCCGGGCAGAGGGGUGCCUCCUACUGCUGGGCCAGAAGUGCUGUCCUGUUGGCCUUCAUCUUUUCCAGCCGCUUGGCCAGGUGGCUGUUGGUCAUCUCCACCUCCUCGAUCUUGUCCAGUGCCGUUCGUAACUGCGGACAGGGAGAGCCCAGUCACUUGACACGGUCACACACAAAACCCGGUGCCACUUCAAUGCCCCUGUCUGCGAGACGGGACCCGCUGGCGGCGCUGAACGGGGACACUGAGCGUGGAUCACAGUAAGGACAGACAUACAGCAGGUGGAGGAACAGACCGGUGCUAAAACAAAAGGGAAACCUCUCCUCUUCCUUAGUCUCGAACUGACCGAAACAUACAAGUAAAUGGCAGUCACCGUGCAGGUCAAAACCCACCACGGAACAGGGAGAGACCCACCGCUGUUCCCUUAGGACUGGACCCAGGAUUCAACUCCUGACGCCGCGAAGGAUCUUUACGUUUUAGGAACGUGAGCGCGCAAAAGCAGGUACCUCUCGCUGUAGCUUCCUCUUCUCCGCCUUCAGUUCAUCUUCCACUUUCUCCGCAUUCUCGGCGGCGGUCUUAUACCUCAGCACCUGGCCCUCGAGUCGGCUGACCUGUCAACAAGAGAACACGGGCUACUGCUGACGGGCACCGGGAGCCCUUUGCUUGCAGCCACCAUGGAAACGCAGCGUCAUUACAAAUCCCAAGUUGUCCCCUCACGGUGAGUCAUAGGGCCUCUCAGAACCCAGCGGCUAUUUAUAGAUGAGGAAGUGUCCCCUGAGAGGAUUACAGCUGGACAGUCAACAGAGGGCCGAUUUCCCACGUCAGGUUUACGAUGGACAUAUUGUUUAAGUGCCAAAGUAACACUGCAGGAUCAGACACACUAAGUGGAAAAGCUUUCAGACUUCUUGAAACGUAGAAUAAGGGAUUUUCAAACUAAGAGACUUCCUGAAGUCCCCUGAAAUAUCUGGAAAAAACAGAAUUACAGCUACGGUUUUCUACGUUUUCAAUAGCGAACGGAAGGCUGAAGUGCCCUUCGGGGUCUCUUCUGCUGGCUUUCUUCUUUACUACAGAGCUUCUACAGAGAUCCAACUGCAGAGACACCCAACCCAAAGAAACCUAGGUACUCCUGGAGUCGGCCACUUAGAUGUUGCAAAGGGACUUUAAAUCUCUCGCCACCAUACUGAGAAGAACAGAAGAAGAGAAUGAAUCCUCUCCCGGAGGGAGUGAAGGUGUGACCCAUGAGGCGCUGACACCUGCUGCAGCCCGGGAGAGGACGAUGCGGUCCCCAAGACAGACACGAAUGCCCGCAGGGCAGCCACAGCAUCUCCAGCGCCCCGGGCCCUAGAACGAGUCUCCUGUGAGAAGCUCCGGCACCGAUCCAAGCCUCCCUUGGACCGGGGAGAAGAAAACGUACCCUUCACCCCACGAUGUGCGUAGGCUGAACGUGGAGCAAGGAGCCCUGUCGGUGCCUCAGUGGCCCUGCCAACCUUGACCUGCUGACCCCCGUCCAGGAGCCUCCAGUUUCCUGUACCUUCCCGCCUCCCGGGUUCCCUCCUGCUGCCACACCUCGGGUGCCCCGCUCUCCCACCGCUGACUGAAGUCCCCAGCAACCUCCGUCAUGACUCUCCUUAGUCAACUGUGACUUCUUCCCUGUCGCUUUGAUUUGCACUGUCUUUUCUAACACUGAUCAUGCCUCUGAACGCGGGCCCUGGCUCCGCCUCCCUCGGUCUAUCUGCGUCUUGCCGAGGGCUCUGUGCGUGUGCUUAAUAAACAUUUGCUGAAAGAAA